GACAAUCAAUACAUUUAGCUUGGAGCAUUUGUGAUGUCAAUUACUAUGAUAAUACUUCAGCAUUUACUGCCUGCAAAAUGUCUGUGUUAUUGGGUUAGAGUUCCCUUCAAGCUUAUCUUUCCCACUUUCUCCCUUUUUAUACUGUGUAACUGCUGGAGAGUCCAAACCCUCAGGCACAACGGUAGGCCUCUUUCGGAACAGGAGCCAAAUGAAAACUGGGGUUCAGGUCAGUUUAUAUUAGUCACUGAAAAGGAGGUUAUUCCUGAAUUAAAGAGUUUGCAAUCCACCUGCACUUUAAUAUCUACUGUUGCAUGUAAUAGAAGACAGCAGACAUUGUUGGAAAACCUUCCACAAUCUUAAAACAACAACAACAAUAAACAUAUCUGGAUCCUGCUCGUGGGCAGUGAGAGAAAGCAUAAUUUCUGAUUGUGCUUGUACCUUUGAUGAAAAGAAUCCAAACUGGAUUUAUGGGAACAAAAGGGCAGAAAAUCUAACACAAAUGCUAUGGACUGGACCCGAAGUUUCUAAGACCUCAGUGUAACAUGACAGAAUUGCAUUCCAGCUUUUCAGGCUACAUUUAUACUGGAAAGAAUAUUCCACAUUUAUUCAGGAAUGGCCCACACUAGGUUUGAACUCCUACUCAAAUGUAUGAGCUGAGCAAGAGCAGGGGCUGAUGCCAUGGGCCAAGCAGUCCCAGUCCACAGAGGAACAACACUCAGUGCAGUCCUGGCUCCUGCUCCAGGCUGGGAUUGGAAGCACUUUCCUUCAAACAGGGUGGGGUAGAGUGGGGCCUGAGCUGUGAAGAAUGGUUUGGGGUGUUUUCCCAUAAUCUCUGAACAAUCUUGCAUGACUGUUUUGUAGAGAGUCAUUGCCAGCUACCUGCUCUGCCCUCUGCUAGGGGUCACCACUGUCACAGAGUCAGCGAAAAGGCAUCUCAUUCCAUGUCAUCCUGUGCCUAAGCACAAAUCACUGAUGGAGCUUC